rnacentral:rRNA from 1 species
AACAGAGGGGGCAAGCGUUGUUCGGAAUUACUGGGCGUAAAGGGCGCGUAGGCGGCCUGUUAAGUCGAACGUGAAAUCCCCGGGCUCAACCCGGGAACUGCGUCCGAUACUGGCAGGCUUGAAUCCGGGAGAGGGAUGCGGAAUUCCAGGUGUAGCGGUGAAAUGCGUAGAUAUCUGGAGGAACACCGGUGGCGAAGGCGGCAUCCUGGACCGGCAUUGACGCUGAGGCGCGAAAGCCAGGGGAGCAAACGGG